rnacentral:rRNA from 1 species
UAGCCGUAAACUAUGCUCGCUAGGUGUCAGGGACGGUGCGACCGUUUCUGGUGCCGCAGGGAAGCCGUGAAGCGAGCCACCUGGGAAGUACGGUCGCAAGGCUGAAACUUAAAGGAAUUGGCGGGGGGAGCACUACAACGGGUGGAGCCUGCGGUUUAAUUUGGACUCAACGCCGGAAACUCACCGGGGGCGGACAGUAAUAUGUAGGUCAGGCUGAUGACCUUGCCUGAUUUUCCGAGAGGAGGUGCAUGGCGUAGUCGUGU